rnacentral:rRNA from 1 species
GACGAACGCUGGCGGCGUGCUUAACACAUGCAAGUCGAACGGAAAGGCCCUGCUUUUGUGGGGUGCUCGAGUGGCGAACGGGUGAGUAACACGUGAGUAACCUGCCCUUGACUUUGGGAUAACUUCAGGAAACUGGGGCUAAUACCGGAUAGGAGCUCCUGCUGCAUGGUGGGGGUUGGAAAGUUUCGGCGGUUGGGGAUGGACUCGCGGCUUAUCAGCUUGUUGGUGGGGUAGUGGCUUACCAAGGCUUUGACGGGUAGCCGGCCUGAGCGGGUGACCGGCCACAUUGGGACUGAGAUACGGCCCAGACUCCUACCGGAGGCAGCAGUGGGGAAUAUUGCACAAUGGGCGGAAGCCUGAUGCAGCACCGCCGCGUGCGGGAUGACGGCCUUCGGGUUGUAAACCGCUUUCGCCUGUGACGAAGCGUGAGUGACGGUAAUGGGUAAAGAAGCACCGGCUAACUACGUG